GAUGAACGCUGGCGGCGUGCUUAACACAUGCAAGUCGAACGAAGCGUAUUCAAGUGAAGUUUUCGGAUGAAGCGAGGAUAUGACUUAGUGGCGGACGGGUGAGCAACGCGUGGGCAACCUGCCUUUCACAGCGGGAUAACAGAGGGAAGCUUCUGCUAAUACCGCAUAUACCUUUAUAACGCAUGUUAGGGAGGGGAAAGAAUUAUCGGUGAGAGAUGGGCCCGCGUCCGAUUAGAUAGUUGGUGGGGUAACAGCCUACCAAGUCAACGAUCGGUAGCCGGCUUGAGAGAGUGAACGGCCACAUUGGGACUGAGACACGGCCCAAACUCCUACGGGAGGCAGCAGUGGGGGAUAUUGGACAAUGGGGGCAACCCUGAUCCAGCGACGCCGCGUGAGUGAAGAAGUAUUUCGGUACGUAAAGCUCUAUCAGCAGGGAAGAAAGAAGACGGUACCUGACUAAGAAGCCCCGGCUAACUACGUGCCAGCAGCCGCGGUAAUACGUAGGGGGCAAGCGUUAUCCGGAAUUACUGGGUGUAAAGGGAGCGUAGACGGUUAAACAAGUCUGAAGUGAAAUGCCGGGGCUCAACCCCGGAGCUGCUUUGGGAACUGUAGAACUGGAGUGUCGGAGGGGUAAGCGGAAUUCCCAGUGUAGCGGUGAAAUGCGUAGAUAUUGGGAGGAACACCGGCGGCGAAGGCGGCUUACUGGACGACAACUGACGUUGAGGCUCGAAGGCGUGGGUAGCAAACAGG
rnacentral:rRNA from 1 species